UACGUAGGGGGCAAGCGUUGUCCGGAUUUAUUGGGCGUAAAGAGCGUGUAGGCGGCUUUACAGGUCCGUUGUGAAAACUCGAGGCUCAACCUCGAGACGCCGGUGGAAACCGUAGAGCUAGAGUCCGGAAGAGGAGAGUGGAAUUCCUGGUGUAGCGGUGAAAUGCGCAGAUAUCAGGAAGAACACCCGUGGCGAAGGCGGCUCUCUGGGACGGUACUGACGCUGAGACGCGAAAGCGUGGGGAGCGAACAGG
rnacentral:rRNA from 1 species